rnacentral:rRNA from 1 species
AGCAGCCGCGGUAAUUCCAGCUCCAAUAGCGUAUAUUAAAGUUGUUGCAGUUAAAAAGCUCGUAGUUGAAUUUCGGGACCAAUUUGUUGGUCGUGCCUCGGUACGUACUGGUAUUAUUGGUUUCUCCCUUCUGAAGAACCUCGAUGCCAUUAAUUUGGUGUCGUGGGGAAUCAGGACUGUUACUUUGAAAAAAUUAGAGUGUUUAAAGCAAAGCAUACGCUUGAAUACAUUAGCAUGGAAUAAUGAAAUAGGACGUUUGAUUCUAUUUUGUUGGUUUCUAGGAUCGACGUAAUGAUUAAUAGGGAUAGUUGGGGGCAUUAGUAUUCAAUUGUCAGAGGUGAAAUUCUUGGAUUUAUUGAAGACUG